UACGUAGGGGGCAAGUGUUAUCCGGAUUUACUGGGUGUAAAGGGAGCGUAGACGGCGAUGCAAGCCAGAUGUGAAAGCCCGGGGCUCAACCCCGGGACUGCAUUUGGAACUGUGUGGCUGGAGUGUCGGAGAGGCAAGUGGAAUUCCUAGUGUAGCGGUGAAAUGCGUAGAUAUUAGGAGGAACACCAGUGGCGAAGGCGGCUUGCUGGACGAUGACUGACGUUGAGGCUCGAAAGCGUGGGGAGCAAACAGG
rnacentral:rRNA from 1 species